UUCACCAUAUUGGCCAGGCUGAUCUCGAAACACCUGACCUCAAGUGAUCCACCUGCCUCCGCCUCCCAAAGUCCUGGGAUUACAGGCAUAAGCCACUGUGCCUGGCCUUGAAAAUGGUGUUUUAGAUUAGAUUGGUGCAGUGGAAAUAGAGAGAAGUCCCUAGACAAGAGUGAGUUUUAGGUACUUUCCCUAACUUGUAGAGAUUGGCGCAUUAGUCUAGCAGUAUUUUUGUAAGCUAGUUUUUAUUUGAUAUUGUUUGCUGUUAUUGCUGUCUGUUAUAUAAGGUUGUAAUUUAAUAAAAUAUCUGAAGGUAAGGAAGCUGGAGAACCUUGGAGCCUUAUAUAUCUGGUGCAUAUCAAAUGUGAAUUUGACAAUGUCACAUCAAAUUUUAGUGAUGUAAUUAAUACAGUGUUCAUAUUUAACCAUUACAUAGGUUGAUUUUAGGUACUAUGAUUGACAUUUAAAUUCUAUAAGUAAAACAUUGCAGAUUGUAUAUUUUAUGAUUUUUUUACAAGUGAGCGAAUAAGAUGACAGUAACAACUCUUUGUGGCAUUUAAAAUGUUAUCUCAUUUAUAAAAAUCUUGACAUCUCUGAGUUUUUACAUUUUUCUGAAUUUGCUCAGGGAUUAGAAUUUACAGCUCCUAAUUGCAAUUUGCAUCACUGACUCAGCCCUCUUUUUGCUUCUGGGCAGUUAUCCAGCCCAUCUUCCUGCCAGCUUCAAUGCCUGCACCAUCACCUAUAAAGCCAUCUUCCGAAACCUCACAUUUUAAGAUCAGAGUAUGUGGGCCUUCUGAUGAGCAUAUCAGCCAUCUUUGAUCACGUUCAUACAUGCAAGUGCAUUUUUACUACACAUAUUUUUCUUAAAUUUUUUCUCAAAGUAGCACUGGAAGAAAGAUUCCAUAUUUUCAACUCAUAUUGUUUUUGGUUUCUACCCUCUAAGUGAUAGUAUAGUUAAAAGGCAUAUGUAGAGUAAAAUUUUCUUUAUCCAUUUGGAAGGUUUGGAAUUCGAAAUCCAUUUAUUUACUUAUUUUCUUGAAAUACAUUGAGCACUUACAAUGCUGCUCCUUGUUUAAAUUUGCUAAUAUAAGACCAUUAAAUUUAAGUAAUGUAUAUAUGUAGUCUGUUGUUAUGCUUUUAAAAUUCACAGUGUUAUCAAGAGAAUGCAGUACACGCAAAUAAUGACAAAUGUGGAUUUAGGGUUACAUUUACAGAUAAUAUGUUAGAAAUCAUUAUUUUAUAUUUCUCUUUCCCAUUUAUAAUGGGAAUUAAGUAUGUUCAUUUUAGCUUUUCUAUAAUAAAUACCAGCUUAGUCUACAACAGCAAAUAAGCUUUUUUAAAAAAACAGCAAACACAAAAUGCUUCACUAUACUCUUUUUUUGUUGUUAUUGCGAUAUUAAUAAACUGAUAGUUUUGUCUCAUCAAAUAUUCUUUUGUUCUGAAACACUUGAGUUAUUUAUUUUGGCUUCUGAAGUUUUAUAAGAACAUGUUAAUUUAGGGAUUAUUGGUGCCAACUUUAUUGAAAACACUAUUUUACUAAGCUAAUUCUGUUGACUAAGAUGCAGGAUUAUAGUAACUUGGUUGAUUCUGUUAUACUCUUCCUUACAAAGGAGAAGGUUAAAUGGAAAUUUUGGAGGAGGUAGAGGGAGGUUUGUAUGUCAAAAUCCAUUUUAAAAGGAUGCAAUGCCUUCAUUUUCAUUAUACUUUCAGUAUAGUUGACUUCUUAAACUAGUUUGAAAAUUUGGAAUUUGAAAUGAGAAUAUGUUUGGAAAAUACAGGAGCUAUCUAUUUAAUUUUUUUCAUUUAAUAGUGGUUAAGGUUUUAACACCUUAAAGGUGCACACAACCUUUAAGUUUGAUUGUUCAACUUAUCGUACCAUUUACCUCCCAUUUCUUCACCAUGAGGUAGAUUCCCUUGCCUCUUGUUUCAAAAAUAAGAAAAAAAAAUCAGAAAACAACUUUUGAACUUCUGUGUUCUCUAGAUUUAAACCCAUCUAUUAUGGUGAUUACCCCACCACGCCAGAGAAAGAGUCACCAUGAUCUCUCCAAGACAGUCUGGCUCCUGUGUACUGGAUUUAUUCUUCUCUAUUUCACAUGGGACUUUUAUUCUCUUUCUUUUCUUUACCAGGCCUUUUAUUUUAAUUCCUUAACAUAAUGAAGACUUUGAAUGCUGUAAAACAAAAAGACAACCCUUCUUCAGCCCUACUGUUUCUUCUCUUCUCUUUUCCUCCCAUCUUUUCACAGCCAUACUUCUUGGUUAGAAUGUUCCAUACUUUUCUGUUUCCUUUUACAACUCUAAUACAGAUCUUGGCACCAUUCCAUUGCUCUUGAUAAGGUCAACCAGAAGCUCCAGACUGCUAAGUCCAGUGAUGUAUUUUCUGUACUCAUAAUGCCUCUGAGUUCUUGAGUGUGCUCUAUGAGGUCACCAGAGAAAAGGAAAAGUAGAUUUAAAUAACCUAUAAUCCUUCUCCAUACUGCCAAUCUUUUUUUACAGUAUAAUAAAAUACAGAGGAGUGAUAGCUUUAUACUUUACCACUAGAUGGCUGAACUACAUUGUUUUUGGAAAAGAAGUAAAAUCUUAAUCACUUGAGGUUGGCUAAUGUAUAACAUUUAAUAAAAUCCCUGAUAUAUGAAUAUAAAAAUAUAUACACAAAAAUACGCGCGUGUGUGUGUGUGUGUGUACACAAAUUCACACAUACUACAAAUAUACAACAUAAUUUUUGAGUAAGGUUAAUAAGAAUUAAGAAUUUUUAAAAAUCAUAAAACUUAUAACCUUGUCCAAUUUUAGCUUUGUUUAUAUGUUAUAUAAGACACGUAAAAGAUCAGAACAUUUUCACAUCACGUUCUUAACACAGACUCUCUAUAAACAUCAGCUCUAAAAGUUUCACAAACAUCUUGAGGGCAAAUUUAGCUCUGUUUUAGAUCUAAUAUCUGUUGUCAGAUGAUACAUUCCUUUAUCUUUAAGCAUAGUGUUUUAUAGAGUCUCUAUUCCAUUAGAGUUCAGAAUAAGAUAAUAUGCCAUUUAUUCAUUUAAAUUUUUAGUUGUAAACAUUUUAUUCUAAUUUAAGUCUCCUUGAGUCAAGGUCAUAAGUACCUGUAUUAGCUACUUCAUUAGGCUUCAGGAAUGUAGUUACCUCUAUUAGGUUCUUAGUUAGGCUUCAGGAAUAUAAAAGUUACAUAUGAAAUUGCCAUUGGUGUCAAAAACAGUCACAUGCUGGUAUUUUCAUAUGGUUCAGCCUAAUAACUUUCUUAUGGGUUUAGUCAUAUUCAUGUUUAUGUUUAAUGCAAUGACAUGAAUAGUCCUGUGGGGCUAAGUUUUGGUAAACUAAAGUUUUGCCCUUUAAGUAUUGAUUCUUACUUUCUCUGUGGAUUUUCUUGAAGAUACAAGUACAGAAAUGCAAUUUGGCAAAAUAAGCAUCAAGGGAAAGAAUAAGUCUUAGUACAUGCCAAAAGAUUUUUCAAGUACCAUUGCCAUGUAAAGCUAUAUGUGUUGCAUUUGGAAAAUGCAUGGCUUAUCUUUGAAAAUAGAAUGUACAAUACAUGCCUAAGGGGAGUAUUUCUAGACUUAUUUUGGUGAUGGGCUAAUUGAAGUGAUUGACUAAAGAGGUGUUAAAACAUGAUUCUCAAAUCAACAUUGAUUUGUAGUGUGCUUUUGCCCCCUCAGAAUAGCGAUGAGUCUAUUGAUUUUACUUUUAGUUAUUUAUAGUGUUAACACUUAAUUAAAAUGUGUGAAAUUUAAAAAUAGUUAUAUUUUGUCUAGAUUAAAAGAUGCUGUCACUGAGGACCGGAUUUCUUUCUGUUCCUAUAUCCUAGCACUGUCCAUGGUCAUCCAGUUUCCCCGCAGAAGGAGACAUGGUUAUGACUUUUUUCUUACCUGGCCUCAGACAACAGAUUCACCCAGACAUAUUAUAUUCCUUGCUACAGGUGAUUAUGUUCCUGCUCUGGAAUUUUUAUGUGAACCUUAUUUUAAGUCUUCCAACAAAUGCUGAUGAAAAAAAAUAAACAAAACUUUGUAUUUGUUUUUUUAAAAAAUGCUAGAACAGUGAGGUGGUGUUUAAAAGUUUGAAAGUACACUGUUCAUGGUGUUCAUGGUGUUCAUGGUGUUUAUUUGGUAGACUUACAGGUUAAUUUAAUUAUGAAAGGAAGAGGUCCUCCCUGGGAAAUAUUUGGAUGGUUCUGAUAAUGGAAUUAAAUAAUUUCUCAUUUGUUCUAUGUUAUUUUACUCAUCAAACUAAAAACAAAGUACUGUUUAACUUGUUUAUGCCUCAGGAUUAAUAAUUAGGAGAUAACUUCUCUUAGCAGAGGCAUCUUGUUACAUUCUUUGACUUGCCUUGUGAUGCCUUGUAGAUGAGUGAAAAUAAUAAAUUGUUUUAAUAAGAUAUCAUUUUUCUUCAUAAGAUAAAAAUUUAAAAACAUCAUUUAGGAUUAAAAAAAAAAACCCAAAACCAUAAACAACCCUAUACAAACACAUUGUUCUUUCUGUUUUGCUUUUACUCCCCAUGCUUAUUUGAAAUGAGGCUGAUAGAACAGAACUUUGGUUUGACAGGGUGUAUACAGACUUUAUAUUAGGAUGGUACAGUUUUUACCAUUACUUUCAAUGGCAAAAUAUGUGGCUGAGUAUGAUAAUGGCAUUGAAAUAUUUCUACGUUUUGAUUAGUUAAGGGUAUAAAUAGUUUGCAUGGCUUUAGAGCUUAUAAGUAUUGUUAGACAACUAACAUGAUGGUUAUAGGUUAUAUAGUUUCCUAAUGUCUCCAAACUACUCCAGACAUCUGGGAUAAUCUGAGAAUAAUAAUAAUCUUUCUUAUUAUGAACGACCAGUUCAUUUAGCACUUUAUAGUAGUGGUUUUCAUUUUUUAGUUUUUGUCACUCACCAACACAAAUACCUCUUUUGGAAUUCAGUGGCUACUUUCUGGUUCCCCUGGAGGACCAUGAAUUAAUAUGGCCUAAAAUCACAUUUUGAGAAUAUCAUGUAAUACAUACUAAAUCCAGUUUAAGAAGUUUGACUAAAGCAAACAAUCUAAACAAUUUAAAAUGACUUUGAGUCAAUCCCAAAUCACAUGUGUAUUUACCUAUCAAUAUUCUGCACGUGAAUGAAAAAGGAGUAUGUCUUAAAGAAGACAUCAGCAAAGUAAGGGAAGAGGAGACUGAUGCCAUGUGCUAAUUGCAGAUGUAUGAAAAAAGGCAUAAGGAAGUCUUCAUGAAGGCAAUGGUAAUUUGGAGUUGCCUUGAAAGAUCACUAUGGUCAUGUAGAGAUAGGGGAGGGAAGUCAGAUGGAAUGAUGCUGCAGAUAUUCUUACUGUACUUUCAUAAUAUUUGUUUUUAAAUUUCAGCAUAUUUUGAAUAAGAAGUACACUUAAGAGUAAUAUCCAAGGUAUCUAUGAAGAAAGUAGAGAUCAGAUAACAAUAACUUUGUGCUUCAUGUCCUCUAACCAGGCCACCCCACGGCCCCAUUACAUCACAACUCUUGCCACAAUCCCUUUUGUUCUCCGUGGGACGCCAGUUUGUGUAACUAGCCCCCUUGUGCAUUGACCAGCCACUCACUCCCUGGCAAGAAGGCUUGCUGCAUUUUCCUCAUCAUAGCUUGUUUAUUUGGAUUUUUUUUUCUCUUUGCCUAAGUGUGUUCACUUUAUAGCAUAGCCUCCCUUCCACCAAAUAGACACGAAGGGGAGACCAGGUCUUGGGUGCAAUUACAUGGAUUAUUUGGGUAUGAGAAUAUGGAAAACAAAACAAAACUAACCUUUGGGAACACGUGUGUCCCAGAUAUUUGCCCCUUUCCCCUCUACCUCAUGUUUUUAUUAUUAAUUUGGUUUAAAAAUGAGGAUUCCCCCCAUAUCUCUUGAGUUAAUUACAAUGCUCUGGGUUUCUAUAAAAAUGUCAGAUUGUGUGGGACCAGUCAGUUAACAGCAUAACUUGGUUAGUGGAACCCUAGACAAGUAACUGUAUGGAUCUCCACCUCCAAAGUGGCUAUCUUUGGCCACUGCUGUCUUUGAAAGCUCAGGCACUGGGAAAAGAGCUGUGGGGACAGGUUCAAAGAGUUGAAACUAUGUUGAAAAAGCUGCCUGCCAAAAACCAAUGAAGUCUUAAAACUAAAUAGUUUUUUAAAUUCAAAAAAUAUUAACAUGAAUUGUUGAAGAGAUUUGAGUCCAAUGGGGGAUCAAGUGUAUAUGAAAUUGCAUUUUUUAAAGUUACUCUUUUCCAGUAGACCAUAACAAAAAAUUACAUGAAACCACAAGAGAGGGUGUCUCCCUGCCUUCCUCAAAUUUGGGCUCGUUUUUUAACAAAACAGAAUAAAAAGAGUUGAACUAAAUUAGAAUGCCGAAAUGGUGAGAGUGGGUGGAAAGAUGAAAGGCACUUUAGUUCAAACAGACUCUCAUGGAGAAAUCAAAAACUGAUAAUAAGACCACCCAGCUGACCUGACUUACCUACUCAGGAUCUUUCUGAAAGCCUCUCAGUUCUGUGCUGUACAUCUUUUAGACUAGUAAUAAUAUCAUUAAAGUACAGAAACAAAAUGUCUCACACGUGUUACAGGAACAUCCAGAAAAAUGAAUAGCAUAUUUUCCAAUUAAAUCUUUUAGUACUUCUCUUUCCAAUUUUUUCUUCUAAUCAUUUGACAUUUCCCCUUUUUAAAAAGAAAAAGCAGCAACAUAUCGGCAGCUUGAGCUCUCAAAAAGUCAAUUUCUCUGAAUUUGUAAGAACUUUCUAGUUUCAAUAGCUAUUAAUAUAAUGAGUUCGAAUUACUACAGUUUUUAUUACAAAUAAAUCUGCAGUUGACAAUACUGCUUAUCUCUCAUUGUUGGGAGAUGUUUAGUAUUGUGAGUACAGAUGUGGGAGUAGUUUAGCAUGCUAUCUCAGUGAAGAUAUAUGGCAUUUCAAACAAUAGCUUUCUUGUUAGUCCUGUGCAUCUACAUGGAUGCUUUCCUCCACAGUUUAAAUCGCCUACUCAAGCUUCUCUUAAAAUCCAGAAAAAAAAAGUAUUGAGUUUAUAGAUGAUUUGCUUUUUACUUAACCUUUGCUUAGUGAAGACAAGAAGAUAAAAGCAUAGCAAUCUUAUGAGACACAGAAGAAAGUAUCAUAUUUUCUUUAAAUAAAUUUUAUCUCUUCAGAGAAAUUAUUUAAAUAGUCACAGCCAAUGUUUUUGCCUGUUUUUCAUCUAAUCACAUUAUUGGUUACAAAAACCUAUGUCACACGUUUGAAUUUCUCCUACCUGUAUUUGUUGAAAGAUUCCCUAUGUGCUUGUUGUUGGCUGCUCUUUAAAAGACACUACUUUGUCAUCCUGGCGUGUUCUUCUGUCAGAACUUCAUGGAUACUGUCAGUGGUGAUUCCAGGAGGGGUAAAAACAAUCCACUACUUCCCGAGCUUUUU